GGUCCUGCAGGCAUCGGUCACCUGGAAAGGACACCCCCGGGGGGGGGGAGGCGUCACGGCAGCAGGAGGAGCCCUCCUUCCGCAGUCAGGAGGCCCUGGUUCCGGCCUUCCCGGGCCUCUUCAGAAGCCUCGCCGCUUUGGGCACGUCGCUGACUCUCCUCGCCUCUCCCCCGGGGCCGGGGGGACGGCAGCGGAGGUGGCAGGUCAGUCCUAAGCAGUGGCCGCCAAGAUCGCGGAGAGGAGCCAUCCAGGCCGUGCCCGGUGUUCAACCCGCAAGACGGCCUCGACCCAGCAGCGGUGUCUGUCAAGCACGUGGAAGGAGCCCCUUCACAGCCGCCGCACUGACGGCCCGGGUCUUAAAGGCUCUUCCUUCGUUCAAGCCCAUCCUGUUCCCUCGUCAGAAGCAACUGGCCUCAUGUGCUGACGGUGGUUUUUGCCUUCACUUUUUUUUCUCUCUUUUUAGGGUCACACCUGCAGCAUAUGGAGGGUCCCAGGUACGGCCCUAAAAAGCCAAAAAAUAAUAAUUAAAAAACCCCAAAAAUCCCACCAGGCAGAAGGGGCCUUGACAGACCAAGUGAGGAAGGCUGGUCAGCUGGUGGGGAGGGGGUCAGCAGGACAGGACCUGGUACAGAUGGGGCAAGACUGGCCCUCGGGUGGCCUUUGAGGGUCUCGUUCUUAGAACGAGGGGCUGCAGUUACGGUUACAGGAGCGAGGGUGGGGGACGGGGGGCAGCCUUUGGAGGCCAGGUCCCUGCGUCAUCUCCUCCCUUCCCCUGGGGCCUCCCUCUGACCACCACCGUCCCUCGCUCAGGACCCAGCUACCGGUCUAUGAGCCGGGCACUCCGGUUUUCAGAAGACACGAGCAAAGACAACCCAAAGGGCAUUUCUAAUGCCCCCUCCCCAUUGCAUCACGGCAGCCUCCCUGCUGAAAGGGUGACAAGGGCCCUGCUGCUUCCACCUGGACAGCUGGGCCUGGAUGCCGGCUGUGGAGGGUGAGGCAUCUGGAGGGGCGCCUGGUGGGCUCCUGGGGUCACUUCCACCCUGGUUCCACAGGGGACAGGCUUGAGAGGAGAACGUUCACACACACCCAACUCCUCUGGCAGCUGGCGAUUCUGGUUCUGUCGCCGUUGCACAAGCCUGACUCCAAGCUCGGAGGCAGCACGGGCUGGGGAGAGCCACAGGGCAGGCCUCCUUCCCAGUUUCAAAAGAAAAGGAUGAGGCAAGAAGAGGAACCCGCAACAAGAAGUAAGUGGCAAGGGCAGAAAAGGGGCCGUAAAAACAGAAGGAAAGAGACGGACAACCACGGAGAAGGGGAACCUUCUGAGCUUCACGCUCUGGGCCCAGCUCUGCCUCUGGAGUCGCCAAGGAGGAGCCCACGCCUCCCCUCCCGAGCCCGGCCACCGUGACGGCAGCCAGGGCACUGGGGGAUGUGUGCAUGUGCGGGUGCGUGUGUUAACAGAUAUCACAGACACACACACAAACGUGUACACAUCCACAUCCACAUUCAGACACACACAGACACGGUACACCCGCACGUGAGCACACGCACUUACUUCCGCUAUUCCUCCCAAGUCCUAUGGUCGGUGGUGGCAGCAGAGCUGCUAUUAUUUGCUGCACAGAGACGUUAAGCGCUUUGCCCGGGGCUGCCAGCUUCCUGCCCAUCUCUGAGGCCUUCUGAUUUGUCGAUGCCCCCCCCCAGUGUGGAUCUAAAGGAAACACCAUGUUCCAGAGGGCCUGUUUCCUUGGGAGGGGCUGGGAUGGACAUGGCCCGAGGUCACAGCUACCUCGUCCGCCCUUUGGUCCUAGUGCAGAGCCUGCACCUCAGGGCAGUGCCCACGGCGGCGCCCUGCCCUGGACCUCGGCACAUUUGGGCUCCCCUGCAGUCUGAGGCUCUCCCUGGUCCCUUUCCUGCUGGGAGCUUGCAGAGGCUCUGGCUGUCAUCCUCGCUCUGGGCGCCACGGCGCUCACAUGGACCGGGUCAGGGCCUCUGGGGGCCAAGUUUAUCAGAGCUGCCCAUUUUCCCAAAGGUCCGACCGACAAGGCACUCACUCUGUGUGUCUGAGUGUCUCACACACUGGGGCCCUGGGCCAGGCACUGGGGCUCCUUGACGGCGAGGCUUGUGUGGCUCACUGGCCCCCAGGCCUCCGCCAGGUAGGUGGCUCUAUAAACCAAAGUCAAAAACCCACAAGAGAGAGACUGGCAUCCAGCUGAUGGCAGGACACACGGAGCAGCACCAACCCUCAGUACAAGCCGGCCUUCCCACAGCCAGGCAGACCUGCUUGCUUCCUAGCAGCUACAAAUGCGGGGAACGCCCCGCCCAAGGCCAGGGUCUGGGGGCAAUGAGUCACCAUCUGGCCGAGAGCAGGUCCCACGACACCAGCACACAGGGUGCCCGGGCACAGGGCCCUCCCUGCUCUAGCCUGCAUCCAGGCUCUUCAGAUGCACAGAGGUAGCCACGGGCCAGGCUCUCGAGGCUCUGGAGAAGCAAGGCCCACCUCCCGAGGCCAUAAAUCAUCCCGCAGGGGAGCCAGAGCAGGCAGAGCUCCAUGGAAAGAGGGCUGGCUGCAUCUGGAGGCUUGGUGGGGGGCAGCUCAGGGCCCAGCCGUCCCCAGGGUGCUGGCCAGGGCCCUCUGGCCCACAUGCUCCCCAGGGGCCCUUUCUCUGCAUUCCCUGGACUCUGCCCGCUCUGCCCCCCACCGCCCUCGGGCCUCGAGACAGGCAGAAAGAGGGCAGCCUCCUCAGUCAGGGUCUUGGAGGCCGGCCUGCCGCCGAUGAAGCCAUCUAUACAUCUGGGCACAGCCCCACUGAGAAAUACAUUUUUAAGAGGUUUCUACCCAAGUGAGGACGGGAAAUGUCUCCAGUGACGCCAGCGCUAUUAUUCCAACUUGUGGCUAGUAAAAUAUAAUAACACGUGUAAGCUGUUUUUACUACCUAUCUAGCUUAUUAGCUAAUAAAAUAAGCUCAGCAUUAAAAAUUUAACUGAAGCCAUUUAUCGCACCCAGAACUCAGGGCUCUGGGUUUUCCUUCAGAAGUCACCCAACUCUGUCACCUUUCCCGCCUUUGUUGCCUAUUUAAAUGUCUCCAGGAAGGAAAAUUCCACUCGCCCGUCCAACUUAAAUGCAUGUGUUUGACGGUUGUCUAGCUAGCAAAGCACUUAGGACAAAGAAAGGGGCACGCCUGGAGCGGCGAUGGAUGGAAGGGAAGCUGAAGAUGAGGGCAGCAGGUGGCAUCUGCCUGGUCCUGCCCGGCUCUUCCCCAAGCCAACCCCGCAGGGCACCACCCACUGGUCCUCCCGCUGCCC
rnacentral:lncRNA from 1 species